CUUGGGGAUUAGUGGCGAACGGGUGAGUAACACGUGAGUAACCUGCCCUUGACUCUGGGAUAAGCGUUGGAAACGACGUCUAAUACCGGAUACGAGCUUCCACCGCAUGGUGAGUUGCUGGAAAGAAUUUUGGUCAAGGAUGGACUCGCGGCCUAUCAGCUUGUUGGUGAGGUAAUGGCUCACCAAGGCGACGACGGGUAGCCGGCCUGAGAGGGUGACCGGCCACACUGGGACUGAGACACGGCCCAGACUCCUACGGGAGGCAGCAGUGGGGAAUAUUGCACAAUGGGCGAAAGCCUGAUGCAGCAACGCCGCGUGAGGGACGACGGCCUUCGGGUUGUAAACCUCUUUUAGCAGGGAAGAAGCGAGAGUGACGGUACCUGCAGAAAAAGCACCGGCUAACUACGUGCCAGCAGCCGCGGUAAUACGUAGGGUGCAAGCGUUGUCCGGAAUUAUUGGGCGUAAAGAGCUCGUAGGCGGUUUGUCGCGUCUGCUGUGAAAUCCCGAGGCUCAACCUCGGGUCUGCAGUGGGUACGGGCAGACUAGAGUGCGGUAGGGGAGAUUGGAAUUCCUGGUGUAGCGGUGGAAUGCGCAGAUAUCAGGAGGAACACCGAUGGCGAAGGCAGAUCUCUGGGCCGCUACUGACGCUGAGGAGCGAAAGGGUGGGGAGCAAACAGGCUUAGAUACCCUGGUAGUCCACCCCGUAAACGUUGGGCGCUAGAUGUGGGGACCAUUCCACGGUUUCCGUGUC
rnacentral:rRNA from 1 species